rnacentral:ncRNA from 1 species
GUUUGGACGGAACCUUUGCCAAAGCUUUUGGUGCCAACCACAAUGGCGCGUUGAUGAUCCUGCAGCGCGCCGGCAACAAUUUCAGAUGCCGAGGCAGAGCCACCAUUGAUCAGAACCACGACAGGCUUACCUUUGGCUAGGUCAUCAGGGGUCGCAUUGUAUCGAUCGCCGUCCUUUGGAUCACGCCCGCGGGUAGACACAAUUUCCCCCUUCUCUAGAAAGGCAUCUGAGACAGCGAUGGCUUGAGACAGCAAACCGCCUGGGUUAUUGCGC